AAAAUUAUUAGCUCUAAAGUACUCCUUCGCUCUGAAGCAUUGCUUAGCAUUAUACCCGGGUUUGUCACAUAUCUGACAUUGAAUUGAAGAAGACCUUCCCUUUGGUGAAUAAAAGGCAGAACCAAUUCUGGUAUUGCACUGGUUAACCGUGACAAUAUUAUCACAAGAAGCAGAACCUCUGGUAGUGUGGUGGUAAUUGUUCCCUUUCUGAACCUGGUUUGUAGUUAUUGGGGUAGGAUCAUAGGAAGGAUCAAUUUACAGCUCAUGAGCCAAGAGUUUGUCUUGCAGCUCUUCAAAAG
rnacentral:lncRNA from 1 species